CACUGAUUCAAAAUAAUGCAGUAAACUAGACCCCAGAUACACUGGCAUAGAAACAAUAGUUGAAUAUUUGCAAUUUAUCCAGUGCCCAUUGGUGACCUAAACAUGCCUUUUCCUGCCAAAUAAAAACAUGGGACCAACCAUAGAUGAUUAU